AUGCAUGUCUAAGUGCAAGCCGUCCCGUACGGUGAAACUGCGAAAGGCUCAUUAAAUCAGUUAUGGUUCCUUAGAUCGUACCCACGUUACAUGGAUAACUGUGGUAAUUCUAGAGCUAAUACAUGCCAACAGAGCUCCGACCAGCGGCCGGGUUGUACGGCGGUUCGCCCGUCGUCUCCCGACGUUCGGAAGGAGCGCUUUUAUUAGAUCAAAACCGGCCAAGCGCGUCGUUCGCGCUUCGCGCGCGUUCGCGCGUAAGUGGCCCGCGCAAAGACUUGACGACUCUGAAUAACUUCGAGCAGAUCGCACGGUCUUCGUACCGGCGACGAAUCUUUCAAAUGUCUGCCUUAUCAACUGUCGACGGUAGGUUCUACGCCUACCGUGGUGGUAACGGGUAACGGGGAAUCAGGGUUCGAUUCCGGAGAGGGAGCCUGAGAAACGGCUACCACAUCCAAGGAAGGCAGCAGGCGCGUAAAUUAUCCAUUC
rnacentral:rRNA from 1 species